rnacentral:misc_RNA from 1 species
UAGAGGAAGUAAAAGUCGUAACAAGGUUUCCGUAGGUGAACCUGCGGAAGGAUCAUUAAUGAAUUCAAGAGAGUUGAUGCUGGCGGUCUUGUGGCUGCAUGUGCUCGCUCUCCUAAUCCAAUUUACACCUGUGCACUUAACUUUGAAGGGAGGGUAAAACCUGCCUUCGAAAUCUUUAAACUCUUAUAUAACGAAUGUUUAUCUGCCGCAAGGCAAAAUUUAAUACAACUUUUAACAACGGAUCUCUUGGCUCUCGCAUCGAUGAAGAACGCAGCGAAAUGCGAUAAGUAAUGUGAAUUGCAGAAUUCAGUGAAUCAUCGAAUCUUUGAACGCACCUUGCGCUCCCUGGUAUUCCGGGGAGCACGCCUGUUCGAGUGUCAUGAAACUCUCAAGCAAGAUAGAUUUAUUUCUAUCUCUGUUUGGAUAUGGACUCUGCCGCGUCAAUGCGGCUGGUCUUAAAUAUAUUAGCUGGUCCUAGUGAAGGUUUGGUUCUACUCAGCAUGAUAAUUAUCUGAUGUUGAGGA